rnacentral:lncRNA from 1 species
AUACAUUUUUAUUUUUGUUAAUCUAAAACAAUAGAGAAUAAUUUACCCUUAAUUUUUUUAACAAAUAAAAAAAAUUAACUUUCUAUCACCCAAGAUUAAAUUUUCUUUAAUAAGCCACUCGGCAUAAUCCUUAAUUGAACACGCAUCCCCAGUAGACAUAAACUAGAAGCCUCUCAUCCAUGGACACUCCUUAAAACCGUGUGAGUUGAGUUUCAACGGCAGUAGCCCGACGGCAGCUUUCAUCCACAAUGAUACUCCUUCCGAACAGGUGCAGCCGUGUUGGCAAACUAUUUAAUUAAUAGAAAAUGCUAGACAAACAUCUUAAUCCUGGGUAACAGGUUCAUACUCCAUAAGCAUUUUUAAGUUUUAACAAUGUCCACAUCCGCAUUUUUAAACCUUAAUCACACCAAUGCAUUUAACUGUGCUAACAAAGCAGAAGCAGAACACGAGAUAUGAGACUGCAACAUAUAUCAAUCCUCUAAUGCAGCAGUCCAGAAAUUAGAAUCAUACAGAAAUGAUCGAGUGUUUAUAUGAUAGAAGACCAUUUAGAAUACAAAUCUAAUUCAAGCAAGUGCCCUCAGAAUAACAAGACAAACAGAUACAUUCAUUUAGAAUACAAAUCUAAUUCAAGCAAGUGCCCUCAGAAUAACAAGACAAACAGAUACAUUCAGUAAUACAAUGAUAUCUGACAUGAAUGAAUUUAACUAGGUAAAAUGUAUAAUUUGCCACUCACCUUUUCAUAAAAAAUCAUUUUACUAUCGGUCAUUAAAAUAAUUUAAUCUCAAUGAUUGAUAAUUUAAUCUCUAUAACUGAUAUGUGAUAUUCAAGUACUACACUACCACAUCAUGAGAUUAAAUCAUUCAAUAAUUAAAAUUAAAUUAAAAGUUAAAUGAUGAUAUAUAUAUUCUCACUUCGUAGAAAUUAAAUUAUUUAAAAUUUAAAAAUUAAGAGUAAAUAAAAUAAAAA